rnacentral:rRNA from 1 species
UUCCGGUUGAUCCUGCCGGAGAUUGCUGCUAUCAGGAUUCGACUAAGCCAUGCAAGUUAAGGGGGUACUUCGGUGCCACCGGCAGAAUGCUCGGUAACACGUCGAUAAUCUGCCCUUAGAUUCAGGAUAACCUCGGAAAACUGAGGCUAAACUUGAAUAGGGAAUACAAAUUGGAAAAUAGUAUUCUUUAAACAUUAGGUCUAAGGAUGAGUUGGCGGCAGAUUAGGUUGUUGGUGAGGUAAAGGCUCACCAAGCCGAAGAUCUGUAGGAGCCUUGGAAGAGGUAGCUCCGAGAAGGACACUGAGAUACUGGUCCUAGCCCUACGGGGUGCAGCAGGCGCGAAACCUUUACAAUGCACGAAAGUGUGAUAAGGGAAUCCUGAGUGCUCAUGCAAUGCAUGGGCUUUUGCCAAGAGUAAAUAUCUUGGCGAAUAAGUGAUGGGUAAGACUGGUGCCAGCAGCCGCGGUAACACCAGCGUCACGAGUGGGGAUCGCGAUUAUUGGGCCUAAAGCGUCCGUAGCCGGUUUAAUAAAUUUUUAGUGAAAUCGGCCCGCUUAACGGGUCGGCGUGCUAGAAAGACUGUUAAACUAGGAACCGGGAGGAGUCAGAGGUAUAUUAAGGGGAGCGGUAAAAUGCAAUAAUCCUUAGUAGACCACCUGUGGCGAAGGCGUCUGACCAGAACGGAUUCGACGGUGAGGGACGAAAGCUGGGGGAGCGAACCGGAUUAGAUACCCGAGUAGUCCCAGCCGUAAACGCUGCGAGCUAGGUGUUGCAUAUUCUACGUGGAUGUGCAGUGUCGGAGCGAAGGUGAUAAGCUCGCCGCCUGGGAAGUACGGUCGCAAGGCUGAAACUUAAAGGAAUUGGCGGGGGAGCACCACAAGGGGUGCGGCGUGCGGUUUAAUCUAAUUCAACGCAGAGAAUCUCACCAGAAGCGACGGCAGGAUGAAAGUCAGAUUGAAGGUCUUACUUGACGAGCCGAGAGGUAGUGCAUGGCCGCCGUCAGCUCGUGCUGUAAAGUGUCCUGUUAAGUCAGGCAACGAGCGAGACCCA